UUGUCGCUGCUGGGCUACAUGGCGGUUCAACAAGGUCGAAUCAGUGGACGGCGAGAUAAAAACGGCUCAUUCUAAAGAAAGUCUCCACCUGUCAUCUGUCUGUCGUUAAGCCUCCGCACCUGAUUUGAAUAAUCAGCUAAUGGAAAUGUGAAACUGAAGGAUCUUUAUGCUGUAUACCAGGUCUACCAGCUAAAUGGACAUGCAGCAGCAAAGUAGGCCACAUCUGGAGCCCAUACAGGAAGAGUCAGAGCAGGAAGAUGAAAUCAAAGGAAGCAAAACAGGAGAAGGAGAGGAGGAAGA